rnacentral:rRNA from 1 species
GUUAUAACCGGCGAUUUCCGAAUGGGGAAACCCAGUGUGAUUCGUCACACUAUCAUUAACUGAAUCCAUAGGUUAAUGAGGCGAACCGGGGGAACUGAAACAUCUAAGUACCCCGAGGAAAAGAAAUCAACCGAGAUUCCCCCAGUAGCGGCGAGCGAACGGGGAGCAGCCCAGAGCCUGAAUCAGUGUGUGUGUUAGUGGAAGCGUCUGGAAAGGCGUGCGAUACAGGGUGACAGCCCCGUACACAAAAAUGCACAUACUGUGAGCUCGAUGAGUAGGGCGGGACACGUGGUAUCCUGUCUGAAUAUGGGGGGACCAUCCUCCAAGGCUAAAUACUCCUGACUGACCGAUAGUGAACCAGUACCGUGAGGGAAAGGCGAAAAGAACCCCGGCGAGGGGAGUGAAAAAGAACCUGAAACCGUGUACGUACAAGCAGUGGGAGCACGCUUAGGCGUGUGACUGCGUACCUUUUGUAUAAUGGGUCAGCGACUUAUAUUCUGUAGCAAGGUUAACCGAAUAGGGGAGCCGAAGGGAAACCGAGUCUUAACUGGGCGUUAAGUUGCAGGGUAUAGACCCGAAACCCGGUGAUCUAGCCAUGGGCAGGUUGAAGGUUGGGUAACACUAACUGGAGGACCGAACCGACUAAUGUUGAAAAAUUAGCGGAUGACUUGUGGCUGGGGGUGAAAGGCCAAUCAAACCGGGAGAUAGCUGGUUCUCCCCGAAAGCUAUUUAGGUAGCGCCUCGUGAAUUCAUCUCCGGGGGUAGAGCACUGUUUCGGCAAGGGGGUCAUCCCGACUUACCAACCCGAUGCAAACUGCGAAUACCGGAGAAUGUUAUUACGGGAGACACACGGCGGGUGCUAACGUCCGUCGUGAAGAGGGAAACAACCCAGACCGCCAGCUAAGGUCCCAAAGUCAUGGUUAAGUGGGAAACGAUGUGGGAAGGCCCAGACAGCCAGGAUGUUGGCUUAGAAGCAGCCAUCAUUUAAAGAAAGCGUAAUAGCUCACUGGUCGAGUCGGCCUGCGCGGAAGAUGUAACGGGGCUAAACCAUGCACCGAAGCUGCGGCAGCGACGCUUAUGCGUUGUUGGGUAGGGGAGCGUUCUGUAAGCCUGUGAAGGUGUGCUGUGAGGUAUGCUGGAGGUAUCAGAAGUGCGAAUGCUGACAUAAGUAACGAUAAAGCGGGUGAAAAGCCCGCUCGCCGGAAGACCAAGGGUUCCUGUCCAACGUUAAUCGGGGCAGGGUGAGUCGACCCCUAAGGCGAGGCCGAAAGGCGUAGUCGAUGGGAAACAGGUUAAUAUUCCUGUACUUGGUGUUACUGCGAAGGGGGGACGGAGAAGGCUAUGUUGGCCGGG